GUGGGGAAUCUUGCGCAAUGGGCGAAAGCCUGACGCAGCCAUGCCGCAUGAAUGAUGAAGGUCUUAGGAUUGUAAAAUUCUUUCACCGGGGACGAUAAUGACGGUACCCGGAGAAGAAGCCCCGGCUAACUUCGUGCCAGCAGCCGCGGUAAUACGAAGGGGGCUAGCGUUGCUCGGAAUUACUGGGCGUAAAGGGCGCGUAGGCGGACAGUUUAGUCAGAGGUGAAAGCCCAGGGCUCAACCUUGGAAUUGCCUUUGAUACUGGCUGUCUUGAGUACGGGAGAGGUGAGUGGAACUCCGAGUGUAGAGGUGAAAUUCGUAGAUAUUCGGAAGAACACCAGUGGCGAAGGCGACUCACUGGCCCGUUACUGACGCUGAGGCGCGAAAGCGUGGGGAGCAAACAGGAUUAGAUACCCCUGUAGUCC
rnacentral:rRNA from 1 species